rnacentral:rRNA from 1 species
GACAGAGGGGGCAAGCGUUGCUCGGAAUCACUGGGCGUAAAGGGCGCGUAGGCGGGAUGGCAAGUCAGUCGUGAAAUCUCUCGGCUCAACCGAGAAACGUCGGCUGAUACUGCCGUUCUUGAGGGAUGCAGAGGAGACUGGAAUUCCCGGUGUAGCAGUGAAAUGCGUAGAGAUCGUGAGGAAGACCAGUGGCGAAGGCGGGUCUCUGGACAGUUCCUGACACUGAGGCACGAAGGCCAGGGGAGCAAACGGG